CUACGGGUGGCAGCAGUGAGGAAUAUUGCACAAUGGGGGGAACCCUGAUGCAGCAACGCCGCGUGGAGGAUGACGCAUUUCGGUGUGUAAACUCCUUUUAUAUGUCAAGAAAAUGACGGUAGCAUAUGAAUAAGCACCGGCUAACUCCGUGCCAGCAGCCGUGGUAAUACGGAGGGUGCAAGCGUUACUCGGAAUCACUGGGCGUAAAGGACGCGUAGGCGGGUUGGAAAGUCAGGUGUGAAAUCCUACAGCUUAACUGUAGAACUGCACUUGAAACUUCUAAUCUAGAGUAUGGGAGGGGGAGAUGGAAUUAGUGGUGUAGGGGUAAAAUCCGUAGAUAUCACUAGGAAUACCUAAAGCGAAGGCGAUCUCCUGGAACAUUACUGACGCUAAGGCAUGAAAGCGUGGGGAGCAAACAGGAUUAGAUACCCUUGUAGUC
rnacentral:rRNA from 1 species